AUUGAACGCUGGCGGCAGGCCUAACACAUGCAAGUCGAACGGUAGCACAGAGAGCUUGCUCUCGGGUGACGAGUGGCGGACGGGUGAGUAACGUCUGGGAAACUGCCCGAUGGAGGGGGAUAACUACUGGAAACGGUAGCUAAUACCGCAUAACGUCGCAAGACCAAAGGGGGGGACCUUCGGGCCUCACACCAUCGGAUGUGCCCAGAUGGGAUUAGCUAGUAGGUGGGGUAAUGGCUCACCUAGGCGACGAUCCCUAGCUGGUCUGAGAGGAUGACCAGCCACACUGGAACUGAGACACGGUCCAGACUCCUACGGGAGGCAGCAGUGGGGAAUAUUGCACAAUGGGCGCAAGCCUGAUGCAGCCAUGCCGCGUGUAUGAAGAAGGCCUUCGGGUUGUAAAGUACUUUCAGCGGGGAGGAAGGCGGUGAAGUUAAUAACUUCACCGAUUGACGUUAUCCGCAGAAGAAGCACCGGCUAACUCCGUGCCAGCCGCCGCAGUAA
rnacentral:rRNA from 1 species